CUCGCUGUUGGCGAUAUACUGUCAGCGGCCAAGCGAAAGUAUUAAGUGAUGCACCUGGGGAGUACGCCGGCAACGGUGAAACUCAAAGGAAUUGACGGGGGCCCGCACAAGCGGUGGAGCAUGUGGUUUAAUUCGAUGAUACGCGAGGAACCUUACCAGGGCUUAAAUGUAGUAUGACCGGCUUAGAAAUAGGCCUUCUCUUCGGAGCAGAUUACAGGGUGCUGCAUGGUUGUCGUCAGCUCGUGCCGUGAGGUGUUAGGUUAAGUCCUGCAACGAGCGCAACCCCUAUUCUUAGUUGCCAGCGGUUCGGCCGGGGACUCUAAGAAGACUGCCAGCGCAAGCUGAGAGGAAGGUGGGGAUGACGUCAAAUCAUCACGGCCCUUACGUCCUGGGCUACACACGUGCUACAAUGGUAGAGACAGAGGGCAGCCACCUGGUGACAGGGAGCGAAUCCUUAAACUCUAUCUCAGUUCGGAUCGAAGUCUGCAACUCGACUUCGUGAAGCUGGAAUCGCUAGUAGUCGCGCAUCAGCCAUGGCGCGGUGAAUACGUUCCCGGGCCUUGUACACACCGCCCGUCAAGCCAUGGAAGCUGGGGGCACCUGAAGUCGGUAACCGUAAGGAGCCGCCUAGGGUGAAACUGGUAACUAGGGCU
rnacentral:rRNA from 1 species